rnacentral:rRNA from 1 species
AGGAUGAACGCUGGCGGUAUGCUUAACACAUGCAAGUCGAACGGAACCUUCGGGUUUAGUGGCGGACGGGUGAGUAACGCGUGAGAAUCUGCCUCUAGGUCGGGGACAACAAUUGGAAACGAUUGCUAAUACCCGGUGUGCAGCAAUGUGAAAGAUUUAUUGCCUAGAGAUGAGCUCGCGUCUGAUUAGCUAGUAGGUGUGGUAAUGGCGCACCUAGGCGACGAUCAGUAACUGGUCUGAGAGGAUGACCAGUCACACUGGGACUGAGACACGGCCCAGACUCCUACGGGAGGCAGCAGUGGGGAAUUUUCCGCAAUGGGCGAAAGCCUGACGGAGCAAUACCGCGUGAGGGACGAAGGCUUUUGGGUCGUAAACCUCUUUCCCUGAGAAGAAGAUCUGACGGUAUCAGGGGAAUCAGCAUCGGCUAACUUCGUGCCAGCAGCCGC